rnacentral:rRNA from 1 species
UACGUACUGUGCGAACGUUAUUCGGAAUCACUGGGCUUAAAGGGUGCGUAGGCGGCCAAUUAAGUAGGGUGUGAAAUGCCAGAGCUCAACUUUGGCAUUGCGCUCUAGACUGGUUGGCUUGAGUGAGAUAGGGGUGUGCGGAACUUCCAGUGGAGCGGUGAAAUGUGUUGAUAUUGGAAGGAACGCCGGUGGCGAAAGCGGCACACUGGGUCUUAACUGACGCUGAUGCACGAAAGCCAGGGGAGCGAACGGGG